ACGGGAGGCAGCGGUGAGGAAUAUUGGUCAAUGGGCGAGAGCCUGAACCAGCCAAGUAGCGUGAAGGACGACGGCCCUACGGGUUGUAAACUUCUUUUGUUCGGGAAUAAAGUGCGGGACGUGUCCCGCUUUGCAUGUACCGUUCGAAUAAGCAUCGGCUAAUUCCGUGCCAGCAGCCGCGGUAAUACGGAAGAUCCGACCCUUAUCCGGAUUUAUUGGGUUUAAAGGGAGCGUAGGCGGCCUUUUAAGCCAGCGGUCAAAUGUCAGCGCCCAACGCUGGCCUGCCGUUGAUACUGAUGGGCUUGAAUACACACAAGGAAGGUGUAAUUCGUCGUGUAGCGGUGAAAUGCUUAGAUAUGACGAAGAACUCCGAUUGCGAAGGCAGCCUUCUGGAGUGCGAUUGACGCUGAGGCUCGAAAGCGCGGGUAUCAAACAGGAUUAGAUACCCUGGUA
rnacentral:rRNA from 1 species